AACGAACGCUGGCGGCAGGCCUAACACAUGCAAGUCGAACGCUGUAGCAAUACAGAGUGGCAGACGGGUGAGUAACGCGUGGGAACGUGCCUUUCGGUUCGCAAUAACUCAGGGAAACUUGAGCUAAUACCGGAUACGCCCUUCGGGGGAAAGAUUUAUUGCCGAAAGAUCGGCCCGCGUCCGAUUAGCUAGUUGGUGUGGUAAUGGCGCACCAAGGCGACGAUCGGUAGCUGGUCUGAGAGGAUGAUCAGCCACACUGGGACUGAGACACGGCCCAGACUCCUACGGGAGGCAGCAGUGGGGAAUAUUGGACAAUGGGCGCAAGCCUGAUCCAGCCAUGCCGCGUGAGUGAUGAAGGCCCUAGGGUUGUAAAGCUCUUUCGCCAGGGACGAUAAUGACGGUACCUGGAUAAGAAGCCCCGGCUAACUUCGUGCCAGCCGCCGCAGUAACAC
rnacentral:rRNA from 1 species